CCGCUGAUGCUGCUGCAGCUGCUGCGGCUGCUGCUGCUUUUGUUUCCUCUUCCACGGCUGCCGCGGCAGCAGCCGCCGCAUCGGCUG
rnacentral:sRNA from 1 species